UCCAGGUUCUCCAGACGGACACACAGAGUUGUUCCCCAGCCUGUCCCCUGGGGACACACGCCUGGUGGGACGCUGCCCAGCUGGCAGGACUGUGCCCGGUGGAGUUUGUCCCUGGAGGGGCUGAUCCCCCCAUCCCGCUGGCACCCCCGGCCACACGCCGAGCCCUGGCCAUGAGGAGGGUGGCUCCAUCUGUCCGGCUGCAUCCCAGCCCCAGCUAAGAGGAGGCCGGUGCUCUGCUCCCCGGGGCCGGGCCAAGGACUCACCCUGCACGGCGCUCCUGUGGAUCACCUUCUCUGUCACCUGGACCAGCAGAGAAGAGGAACAGCCCCAUGGUUAGAGAAGCGAGUCCCACUCCUCCUGGCUCCUUGGGAACACGACAGCCCCUUUCAGAGAGCUCCAGCAGGAGGAGGAGGUGAGACACCAGGAGGAGGCAAGACAUGAGGACUCUGCAAACUCCAGGGCACCAGGCUCACCUUGGAGAUGGCCAUGGUGAAAUAGACGAAGAGGCCGGUGGUGGAGGCGAUCUGCACGGCCAGGAUGGCCAUGACGGCCACGCAGCC